UACGUAGGGUGCGAGCGUUGUCCGGAAUUAUUGGGCGUAAAGAGCUCGUAGGCGGUUUGUCGCGUCGACUGUGAAAACCUACAGCUUAACUGUGGGCUUGCAGUCGAUACGGGCAGACUUGAGUUCGGUAGGGGAGACUGGAAUUCCUGGUGUAGCGGUGAGAUGCGCAGAUAUCAGGAGGAACACCGGUGGCGAAGGCGGGUCUCUGCGCCGAUACUGACGCUGAGGAGCGAAAGCGUGGGGAGCGAACAGG
rnacentral:rRNA from 1 species